rnacentral:misc_RNA from 1 species
UCGAAACCUGCAAAGCAGAACGACCCGCGAACACGUUCAAACACCGGGGGAGCCGCGCGGCGUGGGUGCUUCGGCGCCCCUCCGCGCGUGUUCCCUCUCGUCCCCGGCUCGUUCCGGGCACUAACGAACCCCGGCGCGGAAAGCGCCAAGGAAUACUUAAAUUGAGAGCCCUCCCCUCGCGCCCCGUCCGCGGAGUGUGCGGGGGGAUGCGCGCUUCUUUUGAAACCAAAACGACUCUCGGCAACGGAUAUCUCGGCUCUCGCAUCGAUGAAGAACGUAGCGAAAUGCGAUACUUGGUGUGAAUUGCAGAAUCCCGUGAACCAUCGAGUCUUUGAACGCAAGUUGCGCCCGAAGCCAUUAGGCCGAGGGCACGUCUGCCUGGGCGUCACGCAUCGCGUCGCCCCCCGCACGCCGCAAGGCGUCGUGGGGCGGAUACUGGCCUCCCGUGCGCCUCGAGCUCGCGGCUGGCCUAAAUGCGAGUCCACGUCGACGGACGUCGCGGCAAGUGGUGGUUGAAACUCAACUCUCUUUGUGUCGCGGCUACAGCCCGUCGCGCGUCCGGACUCCAGACCCUCUAAGCGCUUAGGCGCUCCGACC